AAACUUUCAACAACGGAUCUCUUGGCUCUGGCAUCGAUGAAGAACGCAGCGAAAUGCGAUAAGUAAUGUGAAUUGCAGAAUUUAGUGAAUCAUCGAAUCUUUGAACGCACAUUGCGCCCCUUGGUAUUCCGAGGGGCAUGCCUGUUCGAGCGUCGUC
rnacentral:rRNA from 2 species